AUUGAACGCUGGCGGCAGGCUUAACACAUGCAAGUCGAACGAGUGGCGGACGGGUGAGUAAUGCUUGGGAAUCUAGCUUAUGGAGGGGGAUAACUACGGGAAACUGUAGCUAAUACCGCGUACCAUAGGAUGAGCCCAAGUGGGAUUAGGUAGUUGGUGAGGUAAAGGCUCACCAAGCCGACGAUCUCUAGCUGGUCUGAGAGGAUGACCAGCCAAACUGGGACUGGGACACGGGCCAAGCUCCUUCGGGAGGCAGCAGUGGGGGAUAUUGCGAAAUGGGGGGAAACUGGCGCAGCCAUGCCGCGUGAAUGAAGAAGGUCUUCGGAUUGUAAAGCUCUGUUAAUCGGGAGACGGUACCGGAAUAGGAAGCCACGGCUAACUACGUGCCAGCAGCCGCGGUAAUAC
rnacentral:rRNA from 1 species